rnacentral:rRNA from 1 species
AAUCAACGCUGGCGGCGUGCCUCAGACAUGCAAGUCGAACGAUUAAAGCUCUCCUCGGAGAGUGUAUAGAGUGGCGCACGGGUGAGUAACACGUAAGUAAUCUACCUUUGAGUGGGGAAUAACGUCCGGAAACGGACGCUAAUACCGCAUAAUGCAGCGGCAUCGCAAGGUGACAGUUGUUAAAGAUUUAUCGCUUGAAGAGGAGCUUGCGGCAGAUUAGCUUGUUGGUAAGGUAAUGGCUUACCAAGGCUACGAUCUGUAACCGGUCUAAGAGGACGGUCGGUCACACUGACACUGAAUAACGGGUCAGACUCCUACGGGAGGCAGCAGUAGGGAAUUUUGGGCAAUGGGCGAAAGCCUGACCCAGCAACGCCGCGUGAAGGAUGAAGUAUUUCGGUAUGUAAACUUCGAAAGAAUGGGAAGAAUAAAUGACGGUACCAUUUAUAAGGUCCGGCUAACUACGUGCCAGCCGCCGCCGUAACAC